CGCAGGCUGACAGCUCUUGCCUGUGACAGCUCCAGCUGACACAUAUACAGUGCCAGCCUUCCCAGGCCCUGGGAGAAGCGGGGUGAGCUGGGAUGAGGUGAAGGAAAACCCCGAAGUAAAACAGAGACGAUGGGAGAAUUGGAGGCCGGGGUGAUAAACUCACCGAGCCCAGGGGUGAUGCUCGGGUGAUACUGAGUGAAAGAACGAAUACCUACAGUCCUCUUACGACUGCAGCCCUCCAGGCUCCUCUGUCCGUGGGGAUUCUCCAUGCAAGAAUACUGGAGUGAGUUGCCAUGCCCUCCUCCACAGGAUCUUUCCAACCCAGGGAUCGAACCCAAGUGUCCCCCACUGCAGAACACCUGAAACUAUGGCAGGCUAACUUGCCAGCUCGCAGAGCACAGUAUCAGACUCUUCAGAGCUCUUGACACCAUGCCAGCACUGAACAGCAAUCACAGCGCAGAGCUCUACAGAAAUGAGGCCGACUUCCUAACUUUCUUCCUCGUGUUGUCAGACCGAGAGUGAUAACUUUGUUACGUGCUCUUGUGGACUCAGCAAGAUUGUACAAAGAACAUUUUGACCAAAAAAAUGAAAAUGAGUAGGAUCCAGGCACUACUUGUUCCUUUCGUAUUACCAUGCAGGGGAAGAAACCGUGUAUUUUCUUUGCCAGUUGCCGUCAGGUUUAUUGGGCUCCGGGUGUGAUUACCCAUGGGAGAGUGUGCCUCUUAAGGACCUUUCCUCAGUGGCCACACAGUGGGUACAACAAAGAACCUGAUUACAGUAAAGAUUGUAUGCAGCACAACUCAGGGUGGCCUAAUUAAAUCUCGUAUCAUGGCUGACAGCUGUGAAUUUGUUUAAAGAA
ensembl:lncRNA